rnacentral:snRNA from 1 species
GUGCUUGCUUCGGCAGCACAUAUACUAAGACUGGAACGAUACAGAGAAGAUUAGCAUGGCCCCCACGCGAGGAUGACACGCAAAUUCAUGAAGCAUUCCAUAUUUUA